AGCCCAACGUGGGGCUCGAACUCACCAGCCAGGAGAUCAUGACCUGAGCCGAAGUCGGUCGCCUAACCGACUGAGCCACCCAGGCACCCCACGGCCAAUCGUUAUUAAUGGGGGAAAGGGAUCAGGAAUAAGUAAGUAAACAUGUCAGGGCUAGCACUGAGAAGCCAAAUCUAGCAGCGUAAGGGGAUGGGGAGUGACCCAGGGGAGAGGUCAGGGCAUUGGUAGCAUUCAGCUCCCCCCCCCCCCCAACCCCGGGGGCUCCUAGAGGAUUCUGGGCAAGAGAAGCCCAGCCACGCUGUGCCAGCCCCGGGGUGGGGGGGAGGGAGGGGGGAGCUGGGUUUCCAAGUCUGUGCACUUACUUGGUUUUAUUCGGUCAUGGAUGUCCCAGCUCGCUUUACCAGCCAACCCGUUCUGUAGACCCAGGAGCCACCAUGGGCUGGCCACAGCAGGCUGUCAGUCACAUCUGCUUAGCACGGAGGAGGCUCUCACCACAUCACAGGGAGCUGUGUGGCUCCCAGCUCGGGGUGAGGGUGGGGGGAGCCCAGCCCCUUCUGGGUCCCCUUCGUGGGGCCUUGGGGACAGUCAGCACCCAAGCCAGAGGCAACAGACGCCUCCCCAGCCACACACCCCAGGCCUGAGGGUUUGGGGUUUGGAAGGAGGCCUGGGUCACAGUGACCACUUCUGUCCCUGUGGCUCAAGCCACUGCUUCAGGCCCAGGGUGGGAGAGUGUCCAGGAAGCGUGUGGCCUGCCUUCGGCUGUCGGGAGACCAGGCAGUGGCUCCUGGGCUCAUGCAGAGCCUCAUCCGGGGUUGGUGCACAGCACAACCAGGGACCCGGAGCCUCCUCACCAUGGCUGCUAAGUGUGGGCAGGUCCUGACCUCCGUCCUGCUUGCCCUCCUGCUGGGACUCACAGCCGGGCGGCCCUUCAUCUCUCUGACGGGCCCAUCUCAGAGGACGACCCCGGGAAACCCAGUGCCUUUCAACUGUACGGCCGGCCCCUUCAGCUCCUGGGAUUUCAGUGUCACCUGGAUGAAGGGCAGCGAUGAGCAUCCAGCCUCAGCCCAGCACCUGGUGACCAACAACCAAGGCAACUACUUCGUUACCAGUAAGGUGUGGGUGACACUGACCCUCCAGGAUCUCUUACUGGAGAUCACCUGCGAAGUCACCCACAGGGCGCUGGGAGAGCCUCUGCGAAAGACCAUGAACCUCUCCCAAGUGCUCCAAGUUGUCCCCACCCUGAAGAUCACCACCAAGACCUCCGGGACGUACAUCCACGUGCAACAGAGAGUGAAUCUCACCUGCCACGCGAGCCACUUCUACCCCUCCCACCUACGUCUCACCUGGAUGGAGAACAGACACCAGGUCCACACGGUGGAGUCCCCACAGGUCACGAGAAACCCAGAUGGCACCUACUCUCUGAAGCACACGUGGCAGGCGGAGGCCACGCUGGACGGGAGCGAGUUUGCUUGCUGGGUGGUCCAGGCUGAGCAGCCGCCCGUCCGGGCCAACAUCACCCUGCGGGCCCAGGCACCCAGGCUGGGGAAAGGCCGGAGCAUCUACUCCUACUCCUUGCAAGGCCCCCUUCAGCGAUCUGAGCCGGGGAAGAACAUCCAGCUGACCUACGUGUCCUCCGGAUUCCCGUCACGCCACAUUACCGUGACCUGGUUUAAAAAGAACCACGAGCUCCCAAAGACGCAGACCUACGUCCACCCCAGUGGGGACACACACAAUGUGACCAGCCGAGUGCUCGUCCUGCUGCAAGCGGACGAUGUGCUCUCCUUCGUCCAAUGCCACGUCAGUCAUAAAUCCACACUGGUCUUCCAGAAAGCCAUCAACCUGGACCAGUACCUCCGUGUUCCCCCUACAGUGACAGUGUCCCAGUCUUCACACUCCUCAGACUUGGUGGCUGUCACCUGCCGCGUGCAGAGAUUCUAUCCACAGAGUGUGCAUCUCACCUGGACGGAGAACUGCCAUACGAUCAAGGGAGCUGAGCAGCUCACAUCCAAGCAGAGUAGCGAUGGGACCUACACCCUGGAAGGCUUGCAUUUGGUGAACGUGUCAGGGCCGGGGUCUGAACAGGUGCUCACCUGUAAGGUGCAGCACAAGACCCAACCUCCCAUCCAGGCCAGCCUCAUACUGUCUACGGAAGCACACGACACAUACAAGCCCAUCAGAAGCUCAGGUCCUGAGAUGCCUGUCCUCAUCUUUGUGGCAUUCCUUCUGGGCUUCAAGGUGCUGCUGGCGAUGAGUUUCAUAGUCACCUACAUCUGCGGGUGGCGGAGCCGGUAA